rnacentral:rRNA from 1 species
CGGAGAGUUUGAUCCUGGCUCAGAUUGAACGCUGGCGGCAGGCCUAACACAUGCAAGUCGAGCGGUAGAGAGAAGCUUGCUUCUCUUGAGAGCGGCGGACGGGUGAGUAAUGCCUAGGAAUCUGCCUGGUAGUGGGGGAUAACGUCCGGAAACGGACGCUAAUACCGCAUACGUCCUACGGGAGAAAGCAGGGGACCUUCGGGCCUUGCGCUAUCAGAUGAGCCUAGGUCGGAUUAGCUAGUUGGUGGGGUAAUGGCUCACCAAGGCGACGAUCCGUAACUGGUCUGAGAGGAUGAUCAGUCACGCUGGAACUGAGACACGGUCCAGACUCCUACGGGAGGCAGCAGUGGGGAAUAUUGGACAAUGGGCGAAAGCCUGAUCCAGCCAUGCCGCGUGUGUGAAGAAGGUCUUCGGAUUGUAAAGCACUUUAAGUUGGGAGGAAGGGCAGUAAAUUAAUACUUUGCUGUUUUGACGUUACCGACAGAAUAAGCACCGGCUAACUCUGUGCCAGCAGCCGCGGUAAUACAGAGGGUGCAAGCGUUAAUCGGAAUUACUGGGCGUAAAGCGCGCGUAGGUGGUUCGUUUAAGUUGGAUGUGAAAUCCCCGGGCUCAACCUGGGAACUGCAUUCAAAACUGACGAGCU